rnacentral:misc_RNA from 1 species
ACCACAGCGCAACCGCCAUCGCAAAUACGAUAACCAAAGGCCGCCGUUUCUACCACUGCCCCAACUACCGCUGACGUAGGCGUUGCAGCGCUCUUAUCCGCGAGCGUUUCUCCCUCAUCCCGCUCUCCUUCUCUUUGCGCCUCGUUCCAACCUCCUUGGUCAUGUCUCCACAGACCGCUUCAGCGCCCAAGGCGCCGGCUCCGCCCCUCCCGCUCUGGCAGACGCUCUGCGUGUCAGGCUUCGCCGGCAUGUUUGGGUGGUGCUUCACGCACCCCUUCGAGAUGUGGAAAAACACGGUGAUGAUGGCGGCGCCCGGGACAAGCCAGCUGGAUUCCUUAAAGGCGACGGCGCGGAAGGGCUUCUACACGGGUCUGUCUAGUGGCCUGAUGCGCCAGUUGAUCUACACAACCGCCCGUCUGGGCUUCUACCCGAGUUUUCGCGAUGGCAUUCUGGAGGGUGAGGUUGCGCUGGGACUGAAGAAGUCCGCGGACCCUGCUGGCGCGACGCCGUUUGACCGCGCUCUCGCCGGCGCGUCUGCUGGCGUCUUUGCCUCCUUCCUGUCCUCUCCGGUGGAGGUGUGCCUGGUUCUGCAGACGACGAGCAAAGGCAAGGAGAGGCUGUCCAUGCUGCAGGCCUGCAACGGGGUUCUGAAGAGUCGCGGCGUGACUGGGCUGUGGAGCGGCUUUGGCGCUCUGGCGUCGCGUGCGGCGCUGGUGGGCGUGUCGCAGGUGGCGGUGCACGACCAGGUUCUGACGAUGUUGCGCAAGCGCAACGUGAAGCGCGCGGACCCGCUCGGCGACAACGUCGUCGUCAACAUCGCGAGUGUGAUCACGGCCUUGUUCUGCAGCAUUGUGACGAUGCCGAUGGAGGUGGCGCGUGUGCGGAUGUCGGCGGAGGCGAAGCUCAGCGCUGGUGCGGAGAGGAGGUACCACAACGUUGUGCAGUGCAUCGGCCGCAUCUUCAAGGAGGAGGGUUUACUGGCCAUGUACGACUCGUACCUGCCGUACUUUUCUCGCUGCGCGUCACAAACGGUGAUUUGCUUCUUUGUGAUCGAGUACUUGACGCGUGAGCUGCGUGAGCGGCAGAAGGCGAAGGCGAACCUCAUCAAGUGAGCCCUGCGGGGGCGCUCAGCACGAGAGCGGUUGGGAUGGGGAGAAAGCGGAGGCGCCACCGUGCGCGCGGACGUGGGGGAUGUUGGACGGAUGAGUGGCGAUGGACGCGGCCGUUGGAGGGGGGUUAGCUGGGGAAGUGGAAGAGGGAGGAGGGACAUGCACGUUGAUGUGCGCAGUUACUUGUGCACUGUUUGCUUCCCCCUGCUCACGUCCUUCACUGAGAAUUCGCUUUCUAACGAAGUUGUGUGCGUGUGUCUCAUCUUUUUGUUGAUAGUUUCCUCCUCUGCCCUUGUCUUUCGCCUCCUCCCCCUCUCCACGAACACUUGCCGCCUCACCCUCUGUCCUUCCGCGGCUGCAUUAGCCAUCCGACAGGUUCUGCGUACGACCUCCUCCCUCCCCACUUGCACACGCAGACGCAGGCCCGCUCCUCCGCUCGUUUUUUGUUUUGUGACUAUUCACUGAUCUGCAAGCGUUCUUUGUUUCUCUCUUCUUCUGCCGCACGUCGUUUCCCCCCUCUUCGCCCUCCGCCCGCAUCUCCCACUCUGCCAUCUUUUCUUGCCUCUAUUCUUUUCGUCGUUGCUUUGUUGCUGUGAGGGGGCGGGUGCUGAGAGGCCGGAUACAGCGCGUUUGACUGGGUGGGGGAUGCUGUGGUGGGUGCGACGGGGUUGGUGGUGGCGGUGGUGGUGGUGACGGCUGCGCUGGCAGAGGCGGCGGCCCCUUUUCCGUUCUCUCUUGAUUCUCUGCUCUUUCUCAUAUCUUUGCCACCGUUCUCUCCAUUGUUUCUGUGCGGUUCUGCAGGUACGACCAUGGACAUGCAUCUCCCUCUCCCUCCGUGCGUGCGUUCUUGUGUGCGAGCACGGCAUUGCUCUUUUCGUUCUCGCUCAUGUGUGUGCAUGUGUUGAGCUGGGACUCGUACAUGAGACGCAUCCCGGAGACCACUGCUGCCGUUGUCUCUGUCUCUCUCUGCUGCUUGCAUUCUUGUUUUCGACAACUUAUUAUCACAGAGGGGACACGUUGGGAAAGAAGGAACGGAGGGCGCGGGAGGGGUGUGAUGGGGGGGUGAAGGGGCAUGCUGGGGAGGUGGGGCGGGCCGCUGGGACGACCGUGAUGCCACUCGCUCCAGGUGUAGGCCAUGCGCGUGCGAUUGCCAGCUUCUUCGACGUGCCCCGUAUGGCUGCUGCUCUUCAUCCCUUUCCGUCUCCACGCCGGCUUGACAAGUGACGGCCGCCCGCUCUCUCUCUCCCGUACAUCAGGCUGCUGCUGAAGGAUAUCACAUGCUUUCGUGCUUUACGCCUCUCCCUCUCCACUUCUGAACGCCGUUCACGUGGCGCCGUGAAGAGGCAAAUCGCUCCACCAAAGUGCACACAAAUGGAGGCGACUGCAGCAAAACAACGGAAAAAAAAACAGAACACAGGGCAGGAUGGACGUGGCUGGGUGGGGUGCCAGCGACAGGGUGAUCGCUGGACCACACGGGGGAACGGCGUUGCCUUUCAAUUAGCCUUUCUCUGUGUGUCAACGCGUGCGCCACGUCCGUCGGCGGAGUGAGGGGGGAGGGAGGAUGCAUCUACACCCCUUCCUGGUCCUCUUUCCUCGUGCCGCUGCGCGUCUCCAUGUGCAGCUAACGUCGCUCUCCUCGCCACACCUUCCUGCAUCUCCCUGCGCUGGCUGAUCACCGCCUUGCUUUGCUUGUUUUUGCACCGAUACACGGUCACGUAUCCCGCCGCCUCUACUCUCUCGCUCUCUCUCUCCCUAUCUCUCCAUCCAAAAACCGCCGCACCCGUCCAACCCUCUCGACGUCCCCCUUCUCCGCCCCUCUUCACCCGCGUCUGUGUCUACCUCUGCGCGCGGUCCGUUGACGCACCUAACCACGGACAUAAG